GCUGAAACUUAAAGGAAUUGACGGAAGGGCACCACCAGGAGUGGAGCCUGCGGCUUAAUUCGACUCAACACGGGAAAACUCACCCGGCCCGGACACUGUGAGGAUUGACAGAUUGAUAGCUCUUUCUUGAUUCGGUGGUUGGUGGUGCAUGGCCGUUCUUAGUUGGUGGAGCGAUUUGUCUGGUUAAUUCCGAUAACGAACGAGACUUUGGCCUGCUAAAUAGUACGCCUGUCCUCUGUGCUCGUGCAGGUGGCGGUGCUCGUUGCCUCUCUGGGGUGAUGGUGCCGUUCGCCGGCGGGUGCGGCGCAGGUGUCUACUUCUUAGAGGGACAAGCGGCGUGCCAGUCGCACGAAAUAGAGCAAUAACAGGUCUGUGAUGCCCUUAGAUGUCCGGGGCCGCACGUGCGCUACAAUGACGGUUUCAACGAGUUUGGGAUCCUAGCCCGAAAGGGUUGGGUAAACUGAACCAUAACCGUCGUGACUGGGAUCGGGGCUUGCAAUUAUUCCCCGUGAACGAGGAAUUCCUGGUAAGUGCAAGUCAUAAGCUUGCGCUGAUUACGUCCCUGCCCUUUGUACACACCGCCCGUCGCUACUACCGAUUGAAUGGUUUAGCGAGGUCCUCGGAUUGGUGCCAUUGUAGUUGCUUCGGCAGCUCGACCGGUGCUGAAAAGACGACCAAACUUGAUCAUUUAGAGGAAGUAAAAGUCGUAACAAGGUUCCCGUAGGUGAACNUGCGGAAGGAUCAUUA
rnacentral:rRNA from 1 species